ACACUGGGAUCAUGACCUGAGCUGAAGGCAGAUGCUUAACCAACUGAGCCACCCAGGUGCCCCCGUUUCAGAGAACUUAAAUCUAUAAUAUUCGAUAUAUUCUGUCAGCUGCUUCAUUGGAGAAGCUGUAUGUAUUUUUGUUUUAUGAUGUUUUCUAGUCUCAAAGUGUACUCUAGAAAUAAGAAAUGUCAGAUCUGUAUCCUCUCUGCAGAUUUUGGAGCAUAUAAACUAUGCCCCAGUUUGUUACUGGAAAUAGAAAGGUGGUGGUGAUCCACCAUGCUGUGAUGAUGCUCACAGUCUAACUGGAGGGCUAGUGAGUAACUGGAAUGCUUACAAAUUCUCUAAUGGAGUUAUCUGCAAAGUACUGAGGUUCAGAAGUAUGAGAGAGGGAUCCAUCCUACCCAGAGAAAACCUCACGGAAGAGAGAUGAAUGACUGCUUCGCCUUUGGGGAGUGAAAUGCAGCUCAUCUGUCUGUGGUACAGAAGAUGGAGAGACAUGAUCUGAUUCAGACUUGAUUUUUUGGCAAGAAUACUUGAUAGAAGUGGAGGAGGGGGGUGCCAUCUUGGUCUUCCAAGUGCCGUGGAUUGGUUAUCACCGGCCACUUUACCUACUCCUGCUCUGCCCUGCAUAACACAAGUAAUCAGCGAUCACUAUACUGUUUCUGAAGCAGCACAACAGCUGAAUUCCUGAAGAAUCCCUGAAUACCUGAGGAACUCCAAAAAGAUUGGCGUUUGCUUAAUCCUCACCUGAAAGAAAUAGUCUAAGAUUCGCAUCCCGUUCUCCCUAGAGAGAUAGAAGACUGAUGUGAUCCAGAGAAGAAGGAAAAGAAGAGAAAUUGCAACCCUAAAGCGAGAGAGGGGAACACAAGCAAGGCGAGAGGGAGA